GUUGUAGCAAUAAAAGAGCAGUGGAGGUGGGGUGGAAGAAGACUCAUUUUUGUCUUCAUUACUGCUAUGUGGAGCAAGGGCCCAAGCUUUUAAAAACAAGAGCUCAGAGACAUGGCCCUGGCCUUGGAAGAUGCCCUAGAGACGCUGAGGUGGUUGUACUUUUGCCAUAGGAGUGGCAGCCAGAGAACUGAGCCCAAUGAAUGCAAAGGCUGGUGCCUGGAAAUAUUGUGACUUGCCACAGAAAGAAGAUGGAGAAUUUUAAAGUUGGAAAUCUGCCUGGUAAGGGAUCAUUUGCUGGUGUCUGCAAAGUUGAGUCCAUACACACUGGUUUGGAAAUUUCAGUCCAGAUGAUAGUUAAGAAAGGAGUAAGAAUACAGAGAGUCCACAAUGAGAUGAAAAUGCACUGCCAGUUGAAAUAUCCUCCUACACUGGAGCUUUAUAAAUAUUUUAAAGACAAGGAUUGGAUUAGAUUUGACAUUAGAAAUGUACCAUAAUACAGAAGGCAAUGGACACCUAAAGAACAGAAUGAAAACCUUCUUAGGAAAUGAAGCUUGACACUUCACCCACCAGGCCACCACAAGAAUGUUGCAUUUUCAUUAUUAUGAAAGAACUUCCAGAUCAUUAUAGGCCUUGGAUGGAAAUUGCCAACAAACUUCCUCAACUGAUUGAUGCUCACCAGCUUCAAGCUCAUGUGGACAAGAUGCCCCUGCUGAGCUGCCAGUUCCUGAAGGGUCACCGGGAGCAGCGCCUGGCCCACCUGGUCCUGAGCUUCCUCACCAUGGGUUAUGUCUGGCAGGAAGGAGAGGCGCAGCCUGCAGAGGUCCUGCCAAGGAAUCUUGCCCUUCCAUUUGUCGAAGUCUCCAGGAACUUGGGGCUCCCUCCUAUCCUGGUCCACUCAGACUUGGUGCUGACGAACUGGACCAAAAAAGAUCCAGACGGAGACGGAGUCUCCCUCUGUCUCCCAGGCUGGAGUGCAGUGGCAUGAUCUCGGCUCACUGCAACCUCUGCCUCCUGGGUUUGAGCAAUUCUCCUGCCUCAGCCUCCUGAGUAGCUGGGAUUGCAGGCACCUACCACCACACCCGACUAAUUUUUGUAUUUUUAGAGAGAUGGGGUUUUACCACGUUGGUCAGGCUGGUAUCGAAUCCUCGACCUCAUAAUCCACCUGCCUCAGCCUUCCAAAGUGCUAGGAUUACAGGCAUGAGCCACUGCGCCCAGCCUAAUAAUAUAUUAAGAUGGCCACAGGCCAAAUAUUCUGGGGCUGGGAUGUGAGUGGAAAUGUCGCUCACCCUUUAUCACAUAGCACCCCAUAGUCCAGCCACAACUUGCAGAAUUCAAAGUAAGUGUGGAUGUGUGUGUGUCUGCAGUGCCUUGCACACAAGUGUGCAUGCCUGUGGACAUGUGACCCUAGAAGUUAUUAAUAUAUCUGGUUUACAAACUGAAUUGUUCUUUUAUUUUUUUUCUCUCUUGGUGGUCAUCAAUAACUGAAAUUGGGCUAGAUUCCUGGAAAUUGGGUAAGUUCUCAGAAAUCAUUUACGCACUUUAGAAUCCAGGCCAAAUUUAAAAUCUUACAAUAAAACAAAGAACAAAGCAUGCUAAAUUAUAUGUAUAGUAUAAUAUCAACCAUAUAAAAUGCAUAAAAAAUAUACUAGAAGGAAAUGUGCCUAAAAUUCACAGUCUAAAAAUUAACAGUGAUUGCCUCUUCCUUGUAUAGAUAAGGGAUUUUUUUUUACUGUAUUUUCCAGUCUGUACAUAAUAAAACAAGUAAUGUGCAAUGCAAACAAAACAAAAUGAAACUUUAUCAAAUUUCAGUAACUCUUUGAAGUUUAAUUUUUUUUUUGAGACUGAGUCUUAUUCUGUUGCCCAGGUUGGAGUGCAGUGGUGUGAUCUCAGCUCACUGCAACCUCUGCCUCUGGGUUCAAGGGAUUCUCCUGCCUCAGCCUCCCGAGUACCUGAGAUUACAGGCACCCACAACCACACCUGGCUAAUUUUUGUAUUUUUAGUUGAGACAGCGUUUCACUAUGUUGGCCAGGCAGGUCUUGAACUCCUGACCUCAGGUGAUCCACCCGCCUUGGCCUCCCAAAGUGCUGGGAUUGCAGGCGUGAGCCACUGCACCCAGUUGAAGUUUAAUAGUGUGAAAAAAAUAUUUCUCAUCUCACUAUAUCUUCUAUGGGAGGCCAGAUUGCAGAUUGGCUACAGAAAAAUCCCUUCAAAAGACCUUGUUAUUACAUAGACUGGAGCUCAUGGGGCAGGUCUGGUCCACACAUCCUUAGGCUCCGCUUCUCCUGGAAAACAAAAAUAGCCUCUGAUCCAGUGUUGCCUCUCCCAUCACCAAACCUCAGCUUCUAUCGCCAAACUCAUCAAAUAAGAGUGUCCAGUAGAAAAACUGGGCAGAUGGGGGCACAGAAGGUGAAGACAUCAUUUCCCAAGCUAAUGUUGCUGCUGGAACAAUAGUCUCACUCUAUCACCCAGGCUGGAGUGCAGUGGCGUCAUCUCGGCUCGCUGCAACCUCUUGCCUCAGUCUCUUGCGUAGCUGGGAUUACAGGCAUGCCCCGUCACGCCCAGCUAAUUUUUGUAUUUUUAGUAGAGACGGAGUUUCACCAUGUUGGCCAGGCUGAUCUCGAACUCCUGACCUCAGGAACCUGGAGACCAUCAUCUCAUUUCCUGGGGGAGAGAGCCUGCAUGGUUUUAUACUGGUGACUGCUUUGGUGGAGAAAGCAGCAGUGCCUGGGAUAAAGGCUCUUGUUCAGGCCACGAAUGCUAUCUUGCAGCCCAACCAGGAGGCCCUGCUCCAAGCCCUGCAGCGACUGAGACUGUCUAUUCAGGACAUCACCAAAACCUUAGGACAGAUGCAUGAUGGAAAGACAACCCAGCAAUGCCUGCAGGGCUGAUGUAUGAAGGAGUUUCCCAAGAGCCCCUGAAAUACUCCGGCGGGAGUGCAGCUCAGAGCACAGUGCUUCAGGCCUUUGAUGAGUUCUUAGGCAUUCGUCAUAGCAAAGAAAGUGCUGACUUUCUGUACAGAAUGAGGGAUUACAUGCCUCCUUCCCAUAAGGCCUUCAUAGAAGACAUCCACUCAGCACCUUCCCUGAGGGACUACAUCCUGUCCUCUGGACAGGACCACUUGCUGACAGCUUAUAACCAGUGUGUGCAGGCCCUGGCAGAGCUGCGGAGCUAUCACAUCACCAUGGUCACCAAAUACCUCAUCACAGCUGCAACCAAGGCAAAGCAUGGGAAGGCAAAGCAUGGGAAGCCAAACCAUCUCCCAGGGCCUCCUCAGGCUUUAAAAGACAGGGGCACAGGUGGAACCGCAGUUAUGAGCUUUCUUAAGAGUGUCAGGGAUAAGACCUUGGAGUCAAUCCUUCACCCACGUGGUUAGGAGGCUGCCCUCUCCCCAGUAAUGCAGAGCCCCCAUGGAGGGCAGGUGGGCCUGGAGAAUGAGGGUCAGGGUUCUGCCUGGGAUCAUCCAGGAAGGAUCUCAGCCCUAUUCAUGUUUCUGCUCUACAGAGCACUAUAUUCUCCUUGUUGAGAGCUGUUGGCUUCACAAAGGAGAGUUGAUGUGGCCAAGCCUUUCCCUCCCUACCUGAUCACUGCUUAACGGCAUGUAUAAUGGAUACUUCCUCAUGCAGAACCCCCAGAGGAGUGACAGUACGCCAUUCUCUUUGCCAAGUAAUAGAAAACCAAUCUAAAUGUCAAAAAUCAGAUAAAAUUGCCUGGGGAUACAUUACUUGUUGACUUUCUUAAAAAACAAAUUCACUUAACAAUUCAUUAAGUUCAUACUGAGCACUGCCUCCAAGAUUAAAACAAGGAUUUCUGUGGUCCCAGACCAGCCCUCUUCUCCCUGAAUGUGUUGAGUUGGUGGCAGGAGGUUGGAAAUGCUCCAGUGGAGAUGGGAAGAUAGAGGAUGCUGACAAUAAGGACUUGGAAGUCACUAGUGUGAAAAUGAGCAGUUAAUGAUAUGGGAACGGAUGAGACUUUCCACGUGGUACCUAGAUUUGCAAAUUCUAUUGUAAUGCCUUUAUUUUUAGAAGAAUUAUUCUCUCUUCUUACUCUGAAAAUCUGUAUUUGUAAAAUGAAUGAAUGGAUCCUAUAUAAGUAAAUAAGAAAACUGGGAAUAAGUAGUAAAUCAAUGUGUUUAGUGUUCAAAUAAAUGUAAAUGCUUUUAUUG
rnacentral:sRNA from 1 species